GGGAAGCCGUUUGCCGACCUGCACGUUGUCCACCAUCCACCCGCCGUCCACAAACAGCAGCACGUUGUAAAUUCUUUCCUUCACGUCUUCGGUCAGGACGUCCAAGCGGGCCGACCAGGCGGACAGUGCGGCCUGAUGUCGCGUUGGCUUCUUGGGGGCGGAACUGCUGUGGCUGAACCAGUCCGUGAAGGCUUCGUGGGCUUCCUGGAAGAACAUUUCCUCUUCAACAAUAACUAGGGAAACUUCAACUGAGUGUGACAAACUUUGCCGCGUAUCUGGAGAACUGUGGUGCGUGCGACAGAGCAAGGACUAAAUAUUACUCCAGAAAGUAUAAGUCUUGCAUCACGGCGGACACCGACCAGAAAUCUUCUCAUGAUUGCGUUGGACUGCUUCAGGGCUUCAGCCCGGUGGGCGGGGUCAAACAAAAGCCAGUCGAUCACGUCGAUCUUCUUCUGGUCGUCCUGUACGAGCGCAACACAGCUCCGGUCAGCCAAACAACGGAGAUCACCGCUCGCCGGCUUUCAGCAUCAAACGCGACCUUUGUGGUUCCGAUUUCCAAAGUCUGCCUGUGCUUCCUCUCUUACCGGCCUCCGUGGCGAGCUGCAAGCAGAGGGGACGCAGCUCCGGCUGGCUGACGGUCUCCAGGAAGGCGGCGUACUGAGCCGUGGCCAGGUCGGCCGGCAGCUGGCUGACGUAGCUCGCCACCAGGUC